UAAAACGUAGGAGGCGAGCGUUAUCCGGAUUUACUGGGUGUAAAGCGCGUGCAGGCGGUGGGACAAGUUAACUGUGAAAGCGCCCGGCUCAACCGGGCGAGGACAGUUAAGACUGUUCGACUGGAGGCAGGUAGAGGUGUGUGGAAUUCCGGGUGUAGUGGUGAAAUGCGUAGAGAUCCGGAGGAACACCAGUGGCGAAGGCGACACACUGGGCCUGGCCUGACGCUCAGACGCGAAAGCAUGGGGAGCGAACGGGAUUAGAAACCCCGGUAGUCCAUGCUGUAAACGAUGCGGACUAGGUGUUGCGGGUUGAAUCCCCUGCAGUGCCGCAGCCAACGUGAUAAGUCCGCCACCUGGGGACUACGGCCGCAAGGUUAAAACUUAAAUGAAUUGACGG
rnacentral:rRNA from 1 species